ACCUAGGAGUGGAAUGGCUGGGUUAUCUAGCAAUUAUAUGUUUAAAUUUUGAAAAAAGUCCCUAAUUGUGUGUCAAAUUGAUUAUUGCAUUUUACAUUCUUACCAGCACUGUCUGAGGGUGCUAGAUAGUUCCAUAUACUCAGAAACACUUGUCUGGUCAGAAAAGACGAACUCAUGCAAUAUUUAAUUAUCUUCUAGUAUUAUCUUGAAUUUAUUUGGAGAAAAUUUUCACUUUUACUUCCAAAAUAUUAUUAUGAACAUUUUCAGACACAAAAGUUGAAAAAUUGUACCACGAACCCCCAUAUAUAUAUAUAUGGGUCUAGUCAUCACUAAAUUUUAAAGGAUAAAGGUUAUACACACACACACACACACACACACACACACAAACACAGACAUACAACAAAGAAUAACAUAGAUCGCAGGUACAAAUUGUCACUCCAUAACAAUUAUUUUCUUCUAGGAAUUUUCACUUACAUCUGAUUUUUUAUUAGAUUAAUCAAAUUAAAUCUAGAAAGGAAUUUAUAUAUCAUAUAGUUCUCAACAUCCUCAUUUUCUUUAUUAUACACAUAAGGAAACUGUGGCCAAAUUAAAAUGAUUCGCUCAAGGCAUCAGAAAAAAAUUAAGAAGUGAACUAGAUUUUGUGAUUUCUAGAUCAAAUUUCUGUGCACAAAUCUAUAUUUCCUCAUAUAAUUAACAAUGAUUUAUAUUUUAAAUGAACAUUACACAUUCUUACUACUGAAUUGUAAAAUUACUUUGAAGUUUUUUUACGUGCCUACAAUUCUGUAUUAUAUACAAAAUCAUGCACUUUUAAUAUUGGAAAGAACCUUACUAUCAUAUAAAUUCUAGUUCAACCCUCAGGUCCAUUUAAAAUCUGUCUCUAAAGUGAGUAAAUCAGUGCUUUGAAAUAACGUUUAAUGUAAUUCAGUUAUUUGGAUUUUAUGUAUUUGGAGGGAAACUUCGAGUUUGUAAUUCUGUUUUUUGCUCUCCUUUUGUCUCCUUGUGCCCAUUUUGGGGACACAUCUUCAUGUCACAAACUCCAUCAGGGAAAUUUUCAAGUGAAGAAACAGGAAGUGGAACUCAGAGAAGUCCAAUUUUAUUUGUUAAUAAGUAGGAGGUUGAAAGCAAUGGUUAAAAUUGGAUUUUUAAACUAUCAGUAGAUGUAAUUUAUUCCAUCAUGCUGGUUCCCUAUUUGCCUUCUCUUUAUUGCAGGUAAUUGAGAAUUAGUCACAUUUGUUAUUUUUAGCACUGCCUGAUUUUGUCUGGAAAUGGAAGUGAAACUAUAAAAACAGAACAAAACCCGCACAAAGAAGACUCUCAGGAAAUGCUGGCUGAAUGACAGAAUGAACAUUGAUAAAUGAAGACUUCUUCAAAUAACUGAUGCUAGACAUCUCUAAAUAUAUCAGAAAUAACAUGUGACCAUGACAUCAUUCAUCAUUUUUCCAUCAAAACAUUUGAAAAUAACUUGGAUUCAUUUAUUAGAGCUUUAUUUUCCCACAUCUUGCAGUACCCUAGAGUUCUACAGUAAUUAACCUUAUGCUGAAUGGCAGAGGACAUGCACUAAGCUCCUAUUUAAAAUCUAUUCAUGAUGCAUUUUAAAUAUUCAGUAGAGACUUCUUAAACAUGCAGCCAUAGUCUAUUGAAAAUGGAUUUCCUAAAGCCAGGAGAUUGGAUAUUAAUAUCUGGCAUUCGUAUAAAGACAGGUUUUUGUUAACCUAUUAUAAAAAGGACUGAUGAUGUGAUUAUAUACUGUUUACUAGCUCACUUAUAUUUCUGUGCUAAUAAUUACUGUAACCCAUUUGUUUAGUUUUUUUAUUUUAUUUUCA
rnacentral:lncRNA from 1 species